rnacentral:lncRNA from 1 species
GCACAUGCGCAGAAUCAUCGUGGUGCACGGCUCUCCCUUUGCUUCUUCGGUUGCAGUCCUCUUGCUUCUUGCGCGUGCGUGUAGCGCUUUUGCAAAGCCGCGGAGGUGAAGUGAACUUAGAGGCUGUGGGGCCGAGGGGUCCUCUUAUAGCUACCAGCCCACAGGCAUUUAGUCUACGUUGGAGGUAAACAAAUACGGGUCCAGCUUAGGAGAAAAGAAAAACGUCUUACAGCCAGUGUCUAAACUCCAAACAACGGAAUGUAUCAAUGAGACCUUGUAUAUGGAUACACGUGCAUUUAAAACCGCCCUGCCGGCUUGUAGAGCUCUUGCCGUUCUCCAGCGCUUUACAGGGGUUAUCGCACUUCAGCCUCGGAACAACUUUACCAGAUGAGGACACCUGAGGCUCAGAUUAAGAAAUCUGCCCCAAAGUCUUAGAACUGUGAUUCUACCAGAAAGGAAUGAAGAACAGAACCUUCAGGAAUUGAGUCACAAUGCAGACAAAUAUCAAAUGGGAGAUUGUUGCAAGGAAGAGAUUGAUGAUAGUAUUUUCUACUAGCCGUUGGGAAGAUAAAAGGAGACAGAAGAUUGAAGCCUUUGCCAGCCAUUCUUUCCCUUUUUGCUUCCAAACUCCUCAACUGGGAACCUUCAUAUGUGCAGUAUUUAUAUUGGAUCAUACUGGUGAUUAUAAAAGUUCCUAGGAGGCUAGAAGAGCCAACCAACAGAGAAGGGAAAGCAGUCUGUUCUGAACAUAGGGACAUAAGUUCAUUCAUGCCAAGUAUCUUUCCAGCAUGUUUCUCCCAUUUAGAAUAUCUAGCAUGUAAGGCCUUUCAAGAUUAAUAUAAGCCCAAUAUCAGCUCUUUCUCUUUGUAUUUCAUCUCUUUCUACUCUCCUAUUUGUAUUUUGUGUUCCUAUCAAAGUGUCAUAUCUGGGAGAUGACCUGCCUUAUCCUGUUCUAUAACAGUUUUGUUUGCUGCUGUGUCUUUAGAACAGUGCCUGGCACACAGUAAGCACUCAAUAAAUCUUUGAUGAAUGAAUGAAUGGUUAUCUUUUCUCUCUGGCAAUCCAAAUUCACCACUCCUUAAAAAUUCUACAUAAGAUUUGCUGGCUGGGCGCAGUGACUCACGCCUGUAAUCCCAGCACUUUGGGAGACUGAGACAGGUGGAUCACCUGAUGUCAGGAGUUUGAGACCAGCCUCAACAUAGCGAAACCCCAUCUCUACUAAAAGUACAAAAAUUAGCCGGGCGUGGUGGCAGGCGCCUGUAAUCCCAGCUACUUGGGAGACUGAGGCAGGAGAAUCACUUGAGCCCAGGGGGGCAGAGGUUGCAGUGAGCUGAGAUCACGCCACUUCACUCCAGCCUGGGCAAAAGAGCAAAACUCCGUCUCCAAAAAAAAAAAAAAGAUUUGCCUAUUCCAGCAGACUUCUACCCAAUAUCAAUCUAGAUGUAAUCACUUUAUUUUCCACAUCCCUUUAGCAAUUAUGUAUAGUUUGCACUUCAUUAACCUACCCUUAUUUAUGUUACUUCUCACAUACACCCAUAUCUCUUCUGUAUUUUCAAUCAAAAGAUAAUGCCUCAAAUGUUAUAUAUAUUGUAUGUGCCACUCAACAGUGCCUCGUAUGCUGCAAAAAAAAAAAAAAAAAAAAAGACAGUAAACAAUCGGGGUAACUUUUUGUCUUUUAAACCAUAUUUUCUGGGUCAGUGUGGUCUUUCAAGGGAGUUUAGACAGGCUCUAUUUUUUGUUACUUCACUUCUAUAGUAUGUGACUGUAAAUUGUUCCUUCAGUGUUCAAUUUAAGUACAAACUAAAGAGAAACAGUUUCCUAAAGAAAAACAUUUUAAAGUUAGAGAGACACCUAUGUGUUCGUAACAUUUCUCCAGAAAUAUUUGAAGUAACGUAAAACUUCUGGACUGGUCAGUUUAAAUAUUUUCUUGGAAUUUCUAUAGAAAUUUCUGUGGAAUGGUGUUAUAUUGGAAAUAUUAAUUAACUAUAAGAAGACUCCUACUUCUUCACAGAGAACAAGCAGGGAUAUCCUGGAUUUUCACAGUAUUUAGGCCACUCCUUAGUUGUCUCAUGAAGGAAUUAAGGUAGUGGAACACAUUCAAGGAAUUGCUUAGGUGUCAAAAUAAGACAAAGUGUAACAGUUUUUUUCUGUAGUAGAUUUUCAAAUAGUUAAAAGACUCUGCCCUCUUUAUCUAUACUGUAUUCUGGCAAUAAUAAAGUUGGGCAGCCUAUACAUAAAAGCAAUUUCUAACAAUGCCAAAUUAACAGCAGUUUCUUGGCCCUUUCCUUUCCCUCCAUGAAAGUUACAAUAUUAGGUUAUUUCACAGGUUUCCUCCAUGCCCCCCAUACCCAACCUAAAACUGUGUUAGGCUGUCAAAGAAAACAAAUCAGGUAAGAUUAGUGUUUGCCUUUACGCAGUCAUUCUAAGUACACAUAAAAUCAUACAUAAUAUGAAAAUACAGCAGGAAGAGAAACAUCAAACCAUAGAACUGAGUUUUAGUUUUACUGACAUUUAUAUGGCAUACUUCCUGUUUUUGAUUUCAGAAGUGCAACCAUGCAGUGCUUCUAUGAAAAACUGAAUAGUUGAGUACAGUUUGAGGAUUAUAACAACUUAUCCAAAGGAAACAAACAGACCUAACUUACUGCUGUUUUCAUUUGUGGAACUGCUAUCUUUGUUGUAAAAAGUUGAGUAUUUUUCAAACAUCAUUUAAUAAUAGGGUAGCCCCUAAAACAAGUAAGGAGCUAUAAGUCUGAGUUGUGAAUUUGACUAGUAAUGGAAUAAGAAAACCAAGCCAAACUCCAUCUAAAUAUGUAUGUAAAGGUAAUGCUUGUAAAAAUUUGCUUUUUCCUCAUUUUGAGAUUUCAGUUGCCAGUUGACUAUUGGUAUGCAAAAUUAACAAUUCUGCCUAAAGGAGGUAAACGAUAGAGGUUAAUUCUUAAAUAAAAGUCCCUUUGUUUCACUAUU